rnacentral:lncRNA from 1 species
CCCAAUUACACCUUACAGGGGAUUACGACGAGAUGAUCUGUUAUCUCCAUACCUUUUCAUUCUCUAUGCAGGGAAUGUCUGUGUUGUUCUGAUAAGCGGAGAUGAAUAAGGGGAUUCAUGAAAUAGUAGUAAGUCCAAAAAGCCCGAGCAUAUCGCACUUACUGUUUGUAUAUGAUUCUUUCUUUUUCUUCUUCAUAACCAAUGCAGAGGAUUGUCAAAAAGUGAAACAGAUCCU